rnacentral:rRNA from 1 species
UACAGAGGUGCCGAGCGUUAGGCGGAAUCACUGGGCUUAAAGCGUGUGUAGGCGGGCCGUUAAGUAUCUUGUGAAAUCCCCCGGCUCAACCGGGGAAUGGCUGGAUAUACUGGCGGUCUUGAGCAGUUCAGGGGCAGAUGGAACAGACGGUGGAGCGGUGAAAUGCGUAGAUAUCAGGAAGAACACCCGUGGCGAAGGCGGCUCUCUGGGACGGUACUGACGCUGAGACGCGAAAGCGUGGGGAGCGAACAGG